GUUAUCCGGAAUUAUUGGGUUUAAAGGGUCCGUAGGCGGGCCGAUAAGUCAGGGGUGAAAGUCUGCCGCUCAACGGUAGAACUGCCUUUGAUACUGUCGGUCUUGAGUUAUAGUGAAGUUGCCGGAAUAUGUAGUGUAGCGGUGAAAUGCAUAGAUAUCACACAGAAUACCAAUUGCGAAGGCAGAUCACUAACAAUAUACUGACGCUCAGGGACGAAAGCCAGGGGAGCGAAAGGGAUUAGAUACCCCUGUAGUCCUGGCCGUAAACGAUGAACACUAGGUGUCGGGGGAAUCGACCCCUUCGGUGUCGUAGCUAACGCGUUAAGUGUUCCGCCUGGGGAGUACGCACGCAAGUGUGAAACUCAAAGGAAUUGACGGGGGCCCGCACAAGCGGUGGAGCAUGUGGUUUAAUUCGAUGAUACGCGAAGAACCUUACCUGGGUUUGACAUGUUAGUGAAAGUUUUCUGAAAAGAAAUCCCUUUAGAAGCUUGCUUCUAAACACUAUCACAGGUGAUGCAUGGCU
rnacentral:rRNA from 1 species